GGGGAUAAUAGAGGCUAGCCUUUCCCACCUCAAUCUCCCACUUCUUCGCACCACCUUUUGGGCUAAUGGAACUUGUUCCACUUGCUCGGUGUUCUCAGAUAAUGUGGAGGUGAUUUCCCCAGACAAAGAGUUUGAGUCCCUGCUAUUUUCCCCUGCAUACAAGAGUUUUACUGGAUCACAUACAAAGCAAGGAGAACAAAAUGCAACAAUGAAGCUCAGCGUUUAGUUUCUUACCUGCCGCGUCAUUGUUGGAUGGCAACUCCUCCUCACUUUCGCUCUGGUCCUCUAAGGCACUUGAGCAACUCUCAUUACUCCCUUCUUUAUCCGACAGCUCUGGCGAGUCAUCUUGAACGUUAUCCACUUUCCGCAACUGAUCCACGAUUUCUUCGCCUGGAUUGGAACUUAGA
rnacentral:lncRNA from 1 species